rnacentral:rRNA from 1 species
UAGGUGAACCUGCGGAAGGAUCAUUAACGAUUUCGGUGUAAAAAACCGUAUUCUACCUAUGUCUACGCGUACCACAUGUUUCCUCGGGGGGCUUGCCCCCCGCUAGGACCCUUUAUCAAACCUUUUUGUAAUAGCAGUCAGCGUCUGAUACUAAGUUAAUUAUUAAAACUUUCAACAAUGGAUCUCUUGGUUCUGGCAUCGAUGAAGAACGCAGCGAAAUGCGAUAAGUAGUGUGAAUUGCAGAAUUCAGUGAAUCAUCGAAUCUUUGAACACACAUUGCGCCCCUUGGUAUUCCAUGGGGCAUGCCUGUUCGAGCGUCAUUUGAACCCUCAAGCUCUGCUUGGUGUUGGGUGUUUGUCCCGCCAUUGCGCGUGGACUCGCCUUAAAGCAAUUGGCAGCCAUGUAAUCCGGCUUUGAGCGCAGCACAUUGCGUACUCUCUACUGGGACAUGGGCAUCCAGAAGCCUUAUUUUUUACUCUUGACCUCGGAUCAGGUAGGGAUACCCGCUGAACUUAAGCA